UGUGUUUGUAUGUGAUGAAUUAGGCCUUGUCCCUAGUGUUGACGUAUAAAUGAAGGAAGGGCGUCUCACGAAAGGGGGGCCAUCACAGGUUAUAGAACAGUUUGAGAGUGAAUACUGGCUCGACAACACGUACAUAAGGACCGAUCUGUGGACUUCUGUUAAAGGCCUUGACUGUUCCCGCUAUGCGUUUGACCGCAUUCAAAUAAAUUGAGAAGCGAGUA